GACGAACGCUGGCGGCGUGCUUAACACAUGCAAGUCGAACGGAAAGGCCCUGCUUUUGUGGGGUGCUCGAGUGGCGAACGGGUGAGUAACACGUGAGUAACCUGCCCUUGACUUUGGGAUAACUUCAGGAAACCGGGGCUAAUACCGGAUAGGAGCUCCUGCUGCAUGGUGGGGGUUGGAAAGUUUCGGCGGUUGGGGAUGGACUCGCGGCUUAUCAGCUUGUUGGUGGGGUAGUGGCUUACCAAGGCUUUGACGGGUAGCCGGCCUGAGAGGGUGACCGGCCACAUCGGGACUGAGAUACGGCCCAGACUCCUACGGGAGGCAGCAGUGGGGAAUAUUGCACAAUGGGCGGAAGCCGGAUGCAGCAACGCCGCGUGCGGGAUGACGGCCUUCGGGUUGUAAACCGCUUUCGCCUGUGACGAAGCGUGAGUGACGGUAAUGGGUAAAGAAGCACCGGCUAACUACGU
rnacentral:rRNA from 1 species